rnacentral:rRNA from 1 species
AUAAGCCGGAGGAAGGUGGGGAGUGACGUCAAGUCCUCAUGGCCCUUACAGGCUGGGCUACACACGUGCUACAAUGGCAUCUACAGUGGGCAGCUAUUCCGCAAGGAUGCGCUAAUCUCCAAAAGAUGUCUCAGUUCGGAUUGUCCUCUGCAACUCGAGGGCAUGAAGGCGGAAUCGCUAGUAAUCGCGGAUCAGCAUGCCGCGGUGAAUACGUUCCCAGGCCUU